UUUUGUUUCUAGGAGUUUUGUAUGCCCACUUAUUUUGUACAGUUAGGAGGGGCAUGGACUACUAUUUGGUCUCAAGAAAGUCUUUCUUACCUUAACAUCCUACUCCCUUUUCUCCAAAGUACUAUCUGAAUACUUGGAGAAGAGAGAGACUUGUACACAACCCAGGAACAUCCACGGACUAGGGUGCUCCCACCCUAGAGGAGGCAUUGCUUUAUCAGUUGUUAUAAUUCUAGCACGUAAGACGAGGUCCUAAAGGUAAUUUCUUUAUUGAACAAAUAGGGGAGUGACUCCAGCUCCCACUGUGUGCCUGUUGUUGUCUUGGAUACGAGGAACAACAAACAAGAAAAAGAAGACAAACCAGAUGUGGUGGUAGGCACCUGUAAUCCCAGCAACCUGGGAGGCUGAGGCAGGAGGAUCACCAACGAGUUCAAAGCCAGCCUCAGCAGAUUAGUGAGGCACUUAGCAACUCAGCGAGACCCUGCCUCUAAAUAAAUAAUAAUAAUUUUUAAAAAGGUACAGUGGUUUAGCAUCCCUGGGUUCAAUCCCUGGUUUAAAAAAAAAAAGAAAAAAGAAAGAAAGAAAAAAAGAAAAAUAAGAUGAGUCUCUUCUCCUCGGAAGUGGUAUAAAAUCUAGCUAAGUCUUAGAACAACUAGUAAUGAAAUAAAUAUUGCAUGAUACCCCAAAGAAUAAAGUAAAUAUCCAUAAAAUCCAUACUGCUUUAAAUUUAAAAAUCAAGUAAAUGAUUAAAUGGGAGAAAGGGGACAACUCUUUCUUACAGAAAAAUUUCAAUUAAUGGAACUGGAAAUGCAUCACCAGACUCUACAGUAGUAAUUCCACAGGGAAGUAAAUUCUCCUGGUCGAGGAAUUCUGGGGGCACAAGUGGAUUCAGUGGGUGAGAACUGCAGGGCAAAAGUUUAGCAGAAAUGGGAUAUUUGCAGAGCUUUGAAGCAUCUCUCCCCAAAUAAUGUAGUAGCUACACAGAGGAAAACCGUGACCCUGCAGUAGAGAGUCCUGGCUGACCCCAGCUUCACUGAUGAACCAGGUUAAGUUCACAUCACGAGGGACAUACACUGAAAUUGCCUGUCCCCUUGACACCAAGGGCAUCUCAUAAUGCAGACUCUCACUCCAACCAAGAGAAAAUACCAGACCAUCCCGUCUGGGAGGACAUUUCAGAAAAUAACCAACCAUUCUUCUUCAAGAGUGCCAUCCUGAAAGACCAGAAAGGAUUGGAGAGGGUCCCGUAUUUGGCGAAGACAAAAGAAACAUGACGACAGAUUCCCCGUGACAUUCUCCAUGGUUGGCUCCUGCAACAGGAAACAAAACCGUGUUGAGUGGAAACACUGGGGAAAUCCUAAUAAAUUCAGUAGUUGAGUUAGCAAUCUUGACGGAGGCUGAUUUUCUCAUUUUGCUCUUUGUCCGAGGGUGAGGUCGGAUGCUAACAAAG
rnacentral:lncRNA from 1 species